CCACAGACUUAGAUGAAUGAAUGAGCAGUAAGUUUCCGAUCUUCUCAAGCGCGCCACUCUACUUCCUUCUAAAGGAUAUGAGAGAUGGCUCCCAACUCCUUCAAAAUUGGUGAAGCGUGGAUCAAUGUUAAUGCUGAUUGAUAACUUGGCAUAUAUUAGUGAUUGCAUAUGUAAGGU